GCCUACGACCAUAUCACCCUAAGCAGGGUCGAGCCUGGUUAGUACUUGGAUGGGAGACCGCCUGGGAAUACCAGGUGUUGUAGGCU
rnacentral:rRNA from 1 species